rnacentral:lncRNA from 1 species
UCCACAAUAGGACCGAAUGAUCUGGCCUGGGAUACCAUCAUGAAAACAGUGGGCAUCAUAAGGCUGUGUAAGGAGGUGAGAGCCAUCAAUGAGUUAACAGCCUCAUUAGACCACCAUCAGGGAAGAGUGUCUCGUCUGGGAGUAAACAACCAGGAAGGUCCGGGAGCUGGGGUCAAAGAUAGUGCAGCCAGGUGUAGGCUUCACCCCUCCUUGUUAAUGACACUGAUUGGGAUGGCUGGGUGAUGGCUGUCACAUUAAUAACUUAUUGGCUUGGAGGUGCAAGAAUACGGAUCUUCAAGCUUCAGUGGAAGACAGGGGACACAGGUUAUGUAAGGGUUUAAAUUUUGUUCAGUACCAAAUUCUAGUCUUGAUCCAAUUAAUUUAAAAGAAUAUUGGCAAAAUUUUCCAAGUUUUUAUUCGUUUCAUGUUGCGGAAGAUUCACUCUGUCGGGAUAUAAUGGACUGCCACAUGCUGGUUAUGAAUGGCCAAGAUAUCGCAGUGCUGACAAAUGCCAGAGAACUUUUUUAAGUCAUUAUCAUGUACGGCAGAUAUGUUUUCCCUGAUCUUGGCAUAGCACUUGUUUUAAUGCCGACUAUGGCUGUCUCGGUGGCUUCUUGUAAGGCAACAUUUAGCCAUCUAAAAAUAAUUAAAAACCACCUCUUAUGAUCUAUGAAGCAGGAGAGCCUUUCAUACCUCUCAUUACUCUCCAUUGUGUUAACAUUUCUAGAGAGUGUUGAUGCUGACGGGAUCAUAGAUAACUUAUUCGGUAUAGCUUGAGUUGUAGUCCACUAACAUUAACCUAUUUUAAAUCAUUGUAUAUUUUUCAUCAGUAAGUUUAUAUAGCUUCAUGUUGUGAGUUUGGGUAGUGAGUAAAGUUGGGUAAUCUUGUAUUAAGGUCCUUCAUGCCAGACUUUAUCAAAAGCUUUUAGACACAUCUGUAAGUGUAAUGCUGCACUGAUCUCUGUUGUUGGCACUAUAGGUGUGUUUGUACCUCUGUUUUUGUGGAAUCCGUGUUGCCUCGGGUUUUACUGUUCAGUGCUCGUGUUCGAGGUAUAGUAAUAUCUUUGUUAGGCAGAAUCCCUCAAACCCCAGAACUCUCCGCUAGCCGGAAUUGAAAUUUUCUCGAAAAAUCGUUCCCAAAGCCGGAAUUUUCCAGAAAAAUCCAGCAUUGAGAACGAUUUUCCGAGGGACGCGUUUUCUGGACAAUUCUGAGAUUAUUUUCCCAGUCUCCGGAAAAUUCCGGGGAUGGGAGAUGAAAUGAAAAAUUUCUGGAACUUCUGAGAAUAUUUUUGUUACCCAAAAAUUCCUUAGAUGAGGGAUUUUUUCCAGCUUUGAGAGAGUCGUCUCGUUAUCCGGGAAUCUCUCCCUGGAAGUGCUCUACACCAAUUGUUCCGGCUAAUGGAGGUAUGACUAGUUUGUGAGUCGGUGGUUGAUAAGAAUUUCCAGAAUUUUUCCUGGGAUUUUGAGGAAUGAUGUAGGCCUAUAGUUCUCUUCUUGGGUGAAGUGCUUACCUCAUAGUUGGUUUAGUUGCCUUUCACUGACUUUUUACCUAUUUCAACAAAUGUGUUUUAGUGUUUGGUCCUUUCACGUUGUUCAUCUUCCUCUUGUUUGUAUUUAAUGAGUCUUUUUUAUAGGACAGAACUCGGCCAUGGACAAUUUUCAAUGUAAGUCAGAAUAAGAGUUUGACCAGUCAGUAAUAUUUUCUAGAAAUUGUGCAGUGUAAAGUAUUUUUUUUCAAAGUCUGUGUAAUAUUUUUGAAGACAGAUGUUUGGACAUGGAAAAUUUUCAAUGUACCUGUACCAUACAGUAUGUUUCAUCACUGUAAUAUUUUCAAAUGCAAAAUAUAGUCAUGUUUGGACUUGGAAAUUUUUCCAGAGUAAGUCAAAAUAAAAGAAGGUGUAUAGUCAAACUUUCCUUGUUAUUUCUGAAGACAAAAUACAGACAUUGAAAAAAUCCAGACAUCUUUGGACAUAGAAAAAAUACAGCAAUUUGAGAUGUGGAAUUUUUCUAAGCCGAUUAUUCUAUCCAGUUUUUAUCUCUUCUGAAUUCUGCUAGUUCUUCCUUGUUACUUUGUAGAUCUAUGUAAUGUAAUGAUGCCAGUUUUGAAGACGAAAGAAAUUCAGACUCGCUAACACACUCUCGGUACUGUAUACGACUUUGCUGUUAUGCCACGGGUUUCAUCUGAAUACAGACAUUACAUUUUGAUGAUAUUGAUGGGAUUUUCAAGUGAUUAUGUCAUGUCAAAUUUCUCAGAACAAACAAUGGUGCUAAACAGCUAGAUCAAAUAGUACCAAGAGUAUAUUAGCAAGUCUAUUUCACUCUUCUUCAAAACCAUCAUCAUCAUCUCAGAAUUACAAACACAUUACAAAACCAACUCAUCAACAAGAGCAUUUAGUGUGUAGCCAAAGAUUUUUAUAAAGUGCAAAAAUAUUUAUACAUCAAUAUUUUUGUUUCCCACCAAUAUUUUUACUUACUUCAAAUAUUAACUCCCUUGUCUUGUUUCCAAAUCACCUCCCUCACUGCCUGCCUGUCACAUUAAAACACCUCCCUUCCCAUACUCCUUUAACACUUCACCAUGCCCCAUUUGCCUCCACUCAACUUUGCUAUUUCUCCUAAUUUAUUUAAUCUCUCCAUUUCUAACAUUCAUCCCAUGUUUCAAUACAAUUUAACAUUCCUCCCGUAACCUUAAUACAAUAUAUAUAUAUAUAUAUAUAUAUAUAUAUAUAUAUAUAUAUAUAUAUAUAU